AAUUUAUGGGAUUUUGAGUUCUUACAUACAACGUUUGACCACUCGUCUUAUUCAAAUUUUUUUAAAAUUAUUAUUUAUUUUAUUUGUGACUUACUUUAUUAUCUACAGUACUUUAAGCACAACUUUUCGUUUUUUAUAUUUCUAAAAAAGAAUUUAAAUAAGACGAGUGGUCAAAUGUUACAAGCAAAAACUCA
rnacentral:pre_miRNA from 1 species